UGUUCUCUACGAAGAACA
rnacentral:misc_RNA from 1 species